GACAGAGGGUGCAAACGUUGCUCGGAAUUACUGGGCGUAAAGGGCGCGUAGGCGGUGUGUCAAGUCAGGCGUGAAAGCCCCGGGCUCAACCUGGGAACAGCGCUUGAGACUGGCACGCUCGAGUUCGGGAGAGGAUGGUGGAAUUCCCAGUGUAGAGGUGAAAUUCGUAGAUAUUGGGAAGAACACCGAUGGCGAAGGCAGCCAUCUGGACCGACACUGACGCUGAGGCGCGAAAGCGUGGGGAGCAAACAGG
rnacentral:rRNA from 1 species